GAUGAACGCUGGCGGCGUGCCUAAUACAUGCAAGUCGAGCGAACAGACGAGGAGCUUGCUCCUCUGACGUUAGCGGCGGACGGGUGAGUAACACGUGGAUAACCUACCUAUAAGACUGGGAUAACUUCGGGAAACCGGUGCUAAUACCGGAUCAUAUAUCGAACCGCAUGGUUCAAUAGUGAAAGACGGCUUUGCUGUCACUUAUAGAUGGAUUCGCGCCGCAUUAGCUAGUUGGUAAGGUAACGGCUUACCAAGGCAACGAUGCGUAGCCGAUCUGAGAGGGUGAUCAGCCACACUGGAACUGAGACACGGUCCAGACUCCUACGGGAGGCAGCAGUAGGGAAUCUUCCGCAAUGGGCGAAAGCCUGACGGAGCAACGCCGCGUGAGUGAUGAAGGUCUUCGGGUCGUAAAACUCUGUUAUUAGGGAAGGACAGAUGUGUAAGUAACUAUGCACGUCUUGACGGUACCUAAUCAGAAAGCCACGGCUAACUACGUG
rnacentral:rRNA from 1 species